GACGAACGCUGGCGGCGUGCUUAACACAUGCAAGUCGAACGUGAUUUUUGUGGAAAUUCUUUCGGGAAUGGAAAUGAAAUGAAAGUGGCGAACGGGUGAGUAACACGUGAGCAACCUACCUUACACAGGGGGAUAGCCGUUGGAAACGACGAUUAAUACCGCAUGAAACCACAGAAUCGCAUGAUAUAGGGGUCAAAGAUUUAUCGGUGUAAGAAGGGCUCGCGUCUGAUUAGCUAGUUGGAAGGGUAAAGGCCUACCAAGGCGACGAUCAGUAGCCGGUCUGAGAGGAUGAACGGCCACAUUGGAACUGAGACACGGUCCAAACUCCUACGGGAGGCAGCAGUGGGGAAUAUUGCACAAUGGGGGGAACCCUGAUGCAGCGACGCCGCGUGAGCGAAGAAGGUUUUCGAAUCGUAAAGCUCUGUCCUAUGAGAAGAUAAUGACGGUAUCAUAGGAGAAGCCCG
rnacentral:rRNA from 1 species